UUGUUAGGUAGGAUAAUCCAUACCUGUUCCUUUAUUCAGAGGACAGAUAGAACAUGACUGGAGUUUGGAGUUCACAUGCUUCAUGAUUAAUGUCUCUGCGUGAUUAGAGCUGCAACACCCUAAAUGCUCCUAUCUCAU